AACGAACGCUGGCGGCAUGCCUAACACAUGCAAGUCGAACGAGACCUUCGGGUCUAGUGGCGCACGGGUGCGUAACGCGUGGGAACCUGCCCUUAGGUUCGGAAUAACUCCCCGAAAGGGGUGCUAAUACCGGAUAUUGUCUUCGCACCAAAGAGUUAUCGCCUUUGGAUGGGCCCGCGUUGGAUUAGCUAGUUGGUAGGGUAAAAGCCUACCAAGGCGACGAUCCAUAGCUGGUCUGAGAGGAUGAUCAGCCACACUGGGACUGAGACACGGCCCAGACUCCUACGGGAGGCAGCAGUGAGGAAUAUUGGACAAUGGGCGAAAGCCUGAUCCAGCAAUGCCGCGUGAGUGAUGAAGGCCUUAGGGUUGUAAAGCUCUUUUACCCGGGAGGAUAAUGACAGUACCGGGAGAAUAAGCGCCGGCUAACUCCGUG
rnacentral:rRNA from 1 species